rnacentral:rRNA from 1 species
UCCUACGGGGCGCAGCAGUGAGGAAUAUUGGUCAAUGGGCGGGAGCCUGAACCAGCCAAGCCGCGUGAGGGAAGAAGGUACAGCGUAUCGUAAACCUCUUUUGUCAGGGAACAAAGGCGGGGACUAGUCCCCGGAUGAGGGUACCUGAAGAAAAAGCAUCGGCUAACUCCGUGCCAGCAGCCGCGGUAAUACGUAGGUGGCAAGCGUUGUCCGGAUUUAUUGGGUGUAAAGGGCGUGCAGCCGGAGAGACAAGUCAGAUGUGAAAUCCACGGGCUCAACCCGUGAACUGCAUUUGAAACUGUUUC